rnacentral:rRNA from 1 species
ACGCUCGACACCUACGGAGGCAGCAGUGGGGAAUAUUGCACAAUGGGCGAAAGCCUGAUGCAGCAACGCCGCGUGAGCGAAGAAGGCCUUCGGGUCGUAAAGCUCUGUCCUCAAGGAAGAUAAUGACGGUACUUGAGGAGGAAGCCCCGGCUAACUACGUGCCAACAGCCGCGGUAAUCUGAGCGGGCGUGGCAAGGC